rnacentral:rRNA from 1 species
UGAUGGCGACCGGCGCACGGGUGAGUAACGCGUAUGCAACCUGCCCGAUACCGGGGUAUAGCCCAUGGAAACGUGGAUUAACACCCCAUAGUACUUUUAUCCUGCCUGGGAUGGGAGUUAAAUGUUCAAGGUAUCGGAUGGGCAUGCGUCCUAUUAGUUAGUUGGCGGGGUAACAGCCCACCAAGACGAUGAUAGGUAGGGGUUCUGAGAGGAAGGUCCCCCACAUUGGAACUGAGACACGGUCCAA